rfam:Colletotrichum orbiculare MAFF 240422 contig02058, whole genome shotgun sequence.
ACAUACGACCAUACCCACUGGAGGACUCGGGAUCCCGUCCGCUCUCCCAUAGAUAAGCCAGUGAGGGCCGGAUUAGUAGUUGGGUCGGUGACGACCAGCGAAUACCUGGUGUUGUAUGUU